rnacentral:lncRNA from 1 species
GAUGAAUGGAGUUGUUGGGGGUUUACAAUUUCAUCUUAUCCGCUCUCUCUUAUCUACUCCUCUUGAAUUAUUAGCUUGAUUAAUUAAUUGUCAUGCAACUUUCUUAGCCUACCCUUAGCAAUCAAUACAAAAUUAUAGAACGGAAGUUAAAAGAAAUUGAUUGUCCUACCCCUAUCCCUAGGUGGUAUUGCAAAAUCAAGGAAUUAC